rfam:Drosophila willistoni strain TSC#14030-0811.24 scf2_1100000004514 genomic scaffold, whole genome shotgun sequence.
GCUCCAGUAGCCCAAUGGUAGGGCAUCGGCCUUCGAAGCCGGGGGUUGUGGGUUCGAGUCCCAUCUGGAGUG